rnacentral:rRNA from 1 species
UAGCAUAUCAAUAAGCGGAGGAAAAGAAACUAACAAGGAUUCCCCUAGUAACUGCGAGUGAAGCGGGAAAAGCUCAAAUUUAAAAUCUGGCGGUCUUUGGCCGUCCGAGUUGUAAUCUAGAGAAGUGUUAUCCGCGCUGGACCGUGUACAAGUCUCCUGGAAUGGAGCGUCAUAGAGGGUGAGAAUCCCGUCUUUGACACGGACUGCCAGGGCUUUGUGAUGCGCUCUCAAAGAGUCGAGUUGUUUGGGAAUGCAGCUCAAAAUGGGUGGUAAAUUCCAUCUAAAGCUAAAUAUUGGCGAGAGACCGAUAGCGAACAAGUACCGUGAGGGAAAGAUGAAAAGAACUUUGGAAAGAGAGUUAAACAGUACGUGAAAUUGCUGAAAGGGAAACGCUUGAAGUCAGUCGCAUUGUGUGGGAAUCAACCUUGCUUUUGCUGGGCGUACUUUCCAUAUGAUGGGUCAGCAUCAAUUUUGACCGUUGGAUAAAGUCUAAAGGAAUGUGGCAUCUUCGGAUGUGUUAUAGCCUUUGGUCGCAUACAACGAUUGGGAUUGAGGAACUCAGCACGCCGAAAGGCCGGGUCUUGUACCACGUUCGUGCUUAGGAUGCUGGCAUAAUGGCUUUAAUCGACCCGUCUUGAAACACGGACCAAGGAGUCUAACAUGCCUGCGAGUAUUUGGGUGGAAAACCCGAGUGCGCAAUGAAAGUGAAAGUUGAGAUCCUUGUCAUGGGGAGCAUCGACGCCCGGACCAGACCUUUUGUGACGGAUCUGCGGUAGAGCAUGUAUGUUGGGACCCGAAAGAUGGUGAACUAUGCCUGAAUAGGGUGAAGCCAGAGGAAACUCUGGUGGAGGCUCGUAGCGAUUCUGACGUGCAAAUCGAUCGUCAAAUUUGGGUAUAGGGGCGAAAG